ACGGCUCAGUAACACGUAGCUAACCUACCCUAUGGUCAAGGAUAAGCUUGGGAAACUAAGUCUAAAACUUGAUAGGAGAUAUACCCUGGAAAGAUUUAUCUCCGAAACUCGUGCCAUAGGAUGGGGCUGCGGUGGAUUAGGUUGUUGGCGGGGUAAUAGCCCACCAAGCCAAAGAUCCAUAAGGGCUCUUAGCGGAGAGGCCCUGAGAGGGAAUCUGAGACACUAUUCCCGGCCCCACGGGGUACAGCAGUUAGGAAUAAUCUACAAUGCGCGCAAGCGUGAUAGUUUGAGCCAGAGUGCAUUCCAAUUUGGAAUGCUUUUGUGAAAUGUAAAAAGUUUCACGAAUAAGGACUGGGUAAGACUAGUGCCAGCCGCCGCGGUAAUACUAGCGGUCCAAGUCGCAGCCAUUUUUAUUGGGUCUAAAACAUCCGUAGCUUGCUUUAUAAGUUUCUUGUGAAAUUCUGUUCCUUAAGUUCAGAGCGUGCAAGAAGUACUGUAGAGCUAGGGACUGGAAGACGUGAGAAGUACGUUCGAAGUAGUGGUAAAAUAUUUUAAUCUCGAACGGACUCACAAUAGCGAAGACAUCUCACGAGGACAGUUCUGACAGUAAGGGAUGAAGGCUAGGGGCGCAAAACGGAUUAGAUACCCGUGUAGUCCUAGCAGUAAACACUGCGCACUAAACAUCAGUACCUCCUCGAGAGGUAUUGGUGCUGAAGGGAAGCCGAAGAGUGCGCUACCUGGGAAGUAUAGUCGCAAGGCCGAAACUUAAAGGAAUUGGCGGGGGAGCACA
rnacentral:rRNA from 1 species